UGUAGCUCAACUGGUAGAGCAACUGACUUGUAAUCAGUAGGUUGGGGGUUCAAGUCCUCUCGCCGGCA
rnacentral:tRNA from 1 species